GAGGGAUAUUGGGCAAUGGGCGCAAGCCUGACCCAGCGACGCCGCGUGGAGGACGAAGGGCUUCGGCUCGUAAACUCCUUUUCCCGUGGACGAGGACAAGGACGGUACACGGGGAAUAAGUCUCGGCUAACUACGUGCCAGCAGCCGCGGUAAAACGUAGGAGGCAAGCGUUAUCCGGAAUCACUGGGCGUAAAGGGCGUCUAGGCGGCACGAUAAGCGAGGUGUGAAAGCUCCUGGCUCAACUAGGAGAGUGCGCUUCGAGCUGUCGAGCUUGGAGGGCAGGCGAAGGGGGUGGAAUUCCCGGUGGAGUGGUGGAAUGCGUAGAGAUCGGGAGGAACACCCGUGGCGAAAGCGGCCCCCUAGUUUGAACUUGACGCUGAAGCGCGAAAGCGUGGGGAGCAAACGG
rnacentral:rRNA from 1 species